UCCUCCUCCAACAUUCCUGAGAUCAUAUGCAAGAUUUACUUAUUGGAGAAUAAUGAAGCAUAGUAUCAGACAGCACUUUUUUUCUUUAAUUUCUUGCAAUUAUAAAAAAAGUUUGUUUUUAAGAGAGUUGUUUUUGUAAAAGAGAGAAAAAUAAUAAUUACUGCACACAUAGGGAAAAUCCCAUUGAUUUCCAGCUUACUUGAAACCAAAGAGAAAAUAAAUACUUCAAUGCCUAUCUGAUUCCAGGAGAUUAUGUAGGAAGGUAGAGGCGAUAGACAUCAGCCCAAAGACCAUCCAAAAAAAGACAUGAAAGUUAUCCCAGUCAGCUUUAAAAUAGUAGUAUGAAGUGUAAUGAUAGGGUGAGUCUAAAAAAGAAGUAAGCGAUAUAAGUUAUAGUGAGAUCAUAGCAUGGUCCAAACCACCAAUAGGAGAACAAAAAAAAACUUAACACAAAUUAGGCACAGAGACAAUACAGAAAUCAAGGAGAGAUGGUAAGUGGUUAGGGUUGUCUGGAUAAUGAGUCACAAAGCUGACUAUUUGAGUAAGAGAUAAAGAAAAACAAAAAAUUUGAACAAUGAUAGCAGGCUUAGUGGAGUCGAGCUAUUCACUAUGAUAAGAAUUGAAAUCACCAAUGAAUUGGCUGAAGGAUAAAGUGAAAGGGCUCUGUCAAUUUGAUGAGAAAUAACAUCAGAAAUAGCACAGUCUUGGAAAGAAGGAGAAUGAUAAAGUAUUAAGAGAAAGGUAGAUGAGUAAGCAAAAGCACAUAAAUGCAUAAUCAGUGGGUUCAAAUGUUGCUACAAAUAGGCAAAUUGAUUCAUAAAUAUACGUACAGGCCAAGCAUGCAACUAUUGCAUUCUUUACAUAUCAAAAGAUAAUUGCCAAUACUGAAAUCCGAUUAUAAAACAACUGAAAUCAAAUUGGUCUUACAAAAAACAAGUAGGUCUGGUGAAUUUUGCAGUAAGUUUCAACACAUGAAAAGCUAGGUGAUGAUGGCAGUUUUUUGUGUUUUACGUUUUAAAGUACUUUAGUCAUGUUUAUGUUUUAUCUUUAAUUGACUUAAUCAUAGGUAGUCCAAUAUACCUUGGCAAUAAUAUACCUGUAUAUACAUAUAUAUAUAUAUAGUGCCUUACAGGUGAACCAGCACUGCACCAGAGACAAAAUACAAACAUACAUAGGAAAACACAAAAAUAGAUAUUUGGUAUGUCUACUAGGCAGCAGGACAUGGGAUGUAACUUAUCAACUGGCUUAUCCAUAUUGAUAAACCUGCAUGUGAUCGUAAUCUGGUAAUGAAAUGAAAUGUUGUUUGUGAUUAGUUCGCUCUCUUAUGAAAGCCAUAUAUAUUUGUAAUAUCCUAAUGUAUCCUCAACAUUAAAUACGUUUAGAAUUAAUAUUUAUACAAAAUAA